GGCUUCGCAGCUCAGCUGGUAGAGCGACUGCCAUGUUUGGGCAUGAUGUUUCGGUUGCUGGUUCGAAUCCAGCCGAAGUCU